rnacentral:rRNA from 1 species
AGAGUUUGAUUAUGGCUCAGGACGAACGCUGGCGGCGUGCUUCAUACAUGCAAGUCGAACGAGAAGCUGACUUCGGUCAGUGGAAAGUGGCGGACGGGUGAGUAAUAUGUAGGAAAUCUGCCCUAGAGAGGGGGACAACAGAGGGAAACUUCUGCUAAUACCCCAUAUGAGCUUAGUUGAAAUACUAAUCUUGAAAACUCCGGUGCUCUAGGAUGAGCCUGCAUCUGAUUAGCUAGUUGGCGGUGCAAUGGACCACCAAGGCGACGAUCAGUAGCUGGUUUGAGAGGAUGAUCAGCCACAAUGGGACUGAGACACGGCCCAUACUCCUACGGGAGGCAGCAGUAGGGAAUUUUGCGCAAUGGGCGAAAGCCUGAACCGCAGCAACGCCGCGUGAACGAUUAAGCCCUUCGGGGUGUAAAGUUCUGUCAGUAGGGACGAAACUUGACGGUACCUACAGAGGAAGCACCGGCUAACUCCGUGCCAGCAGCUGC